AAGGAGCUUGCUCCUUUGAAGUUAGCGGCGGACGGGUGAGUAACACGUGGGUAACCUACCUAUAAGACUGGAAUAACUUCGGGAAACCGGAGCUAAUGCCGGAUAACAUAUAGAACCGCAUGGUUCUAUAGUGAAAGAUGGUUUUGCUAUCACUUAUAGAUGGACCCGCGCCGUAUUAGCUAGUUGGUAAGGUAAUGGCUUACCAAGGCGACGAUACGUAGCCGACCUGAGAGGGUGAUCGGCCACACUGGAACUGAGACACGGUCCAGACUCCUACGGGAGGCAGCAGUAGGGAAUCUUCCGCAAUGGGCGAAAGCCUGACGGAGCAACGCCGCGUGAGUGAUGAAGGUUUUCGGAUCGUAAAACUCUGUUAUUAGGGAAGAACAAAUGCGUAAGUAACUGUGCGCAUCUUGACGGUACCUAAUCAGAAAGCCACGGCUAACUACGUGCCAGCAGCCGCGGUAAUACGUAGGUGGCAAGCGUUAUCCGGAAUUAUUGGGCGUAAAGCGCGCGUAGGCGGUUUCUUAAGUCUG
rnacentral:rRNA from 1 species